AAACAAUGUUGAGGACAUUUCUGCAAGAGCUCUUUCAACCUAUCACAUAUCUCAAAAAGAGACUCCAAUUCCAUUUUCACAAAGGAGGAUAUUUCAUUCCUGAGCUU